rnacentral:rRNA from 1 species
UACAGAGGUCCCAACCGUUGUUCGGAUUCAUUGGGCGUAAAGGGUGCGUAGGCGGCGGGGCAAGUCAGGUGUGAAAUCUCGGGGCUCAACCCCGAAACUGCACUUGAUACUGCCUUGCUCGAGUACUGGAGAGGAGACUGGAAUUUACGGUGUAGCAGUGAAAUGCGUAGAUAUCGUAAGGAAGACCAGUGGCGAAGGCGAGUCUCUGGACAGUUACUGACGCUGAGGCACGAAGGCCAGGGGAGCAAACAGG